AAGAAAAAGCUUCUUAACACACUGACCUUCAUCAUUUGUACUUGGUGAUAUCUGCAUCUAACAUAACUUGAAACUUCAGCUUUUUCCCAGCUUGAGCUAAAAAACUGACCACUGUAUACUGAUGUUAAAUGUAUCAGAAGAUUGUUUGGAAACAAGAAAUUCAGAGGACUGUAUAACAGCAUCAGUGUAGCAGAUCUCCUGUGUAUGUUUCAACCUAUUGGUCAGUGGCUGCUUAAUGGCAUCACUUGCCUGAUGCUGAAGGUCUGAUGUCAUGUUCCAAGAGCAGUCAGCAGUGCAGACUGUAGAAAUGGGAGGGUGAAUUUGGGAAGUGAAGUUGACAGGAAGCUGAUACUGUGUGGAUAAAGGAAAAU